UACAGAGGGUGCGAGCGUUGUUCGGAAUUAUUGGGCGUAAAGGGCGCGUAGGCGGUGCGGUAAGUCACCUGUGAAAUCUCCUGGCUCAACUGGGAGCUUGCAGGCGAAACUGCCGUGCUGGAGUGUGGGAGAGGUGAGUGGAAUUCCCGGUGUAGCGGUGAAAUGCGUAGAUAUCAGGAGGAACACCGAUGGCGAAGGCAGGUCUCUGGGCCAUUACUGACACUGAGAAGCGAAAGCAUGGGGAGCGAACAGG
rnacentral:rRNA from 1 species